GAUUCCCGGUCACCUGCUGCUCCCGGCUCCAUCUCCCCCGGCACACAGAGUCCGCAUCCUCCACGCUGAAACACUGGCCAGCCGCGGAGCUCUGCGGGUAACACGUCUCCAGGCGCCAAAAAGGCUUCCAUUGUGUUCUGUCAAUAGAUUGUCCUCUCCAGUGUUGUGGCACUGUGUUGGUCCCAGGAUAUUAGAGAGACAAGAACAUCUGACCCGGAUAAGCAGGAGAAAGAAGAGGACUUGGGAAGACAUGUUCAGCGAGAUCCUGCAAGGCAGUGCUACCAUUAGUCCAUGAGCAUAGAGCCUUGCGGGCGAACAUUGCAGACAGCCUGGAGAAGGAAAGAGCAGACAGGAUCAAAGCCCCCGAGUUCCGGCAGGAAAAGGAGAGGUAGAAGAACGAGGACAUAAUGGGGCUACUCUGGCAGCAAACUUAUGAUGCAGGCUCUUGUGCACCUACUGGUUCCAUAAUCCAAGGCUUGCCUCCCUUUGUAGUCCAUAGAGAACUCUAGUAUAGUAUCUUCCUACACCCCCUACCCCAACAAUGCGUGUGACAUCGGGGCCACAACCCUAUCUCUACCACUCCACCGUGGGGGAUAUUAAGGACAACUACAACUUCACACACCUGCUAAAGUCAUGGCUGACAUAUUGGCAGUUAAAAUGGACAUGAAUGUUCCUUCCCUUUCUUUAAACUCUUUUCCAUAAAUUUAUUAUGGUUUUAAUGUUUUUGGUUUUUACUUGCAGAGAAUUUUUGAAGUGUUUUCAUUACCCAAAAAAGCUCUAUUGUUUGAUGAAUAAUUCAUUUUUAUUAGUUCCCAACAUAUGCUGCAGAAUGCCUGGCAGUAGUGAAAGCACCCACUUGCUUGUUGCACACUGUGACACAACUCAUAGGACCAGUGAAAAAGUGUAAUAAUUAUAAAUGUACAGCAAGCACCAUAAAAUUAGUAGGUGCAGGGUCAGUGUUAUAUGCAUAGAUGUGCACCAGCCACCACACAAUUCCUAACAGGCCCCCACCCUGCAGGGACAGCUGGCGCACAGUAAACCACUGCACUAUUCCUGUGGCUGGCUGUUAAAGUGCUCUUUCAAAGCCUCCCUGAGCCAUAUAAAUCUGCAUUGAGCUCUUUUUAUAGCCCUUGUGCCUGGCUAUUAAAACUCAGCAGAGAGUCGUUCCAACUCUGCCCUCCACCCCAGAGGCAACUUUCCUCCUUCGCUUCACAGAUAUUAUGCAGGACACAGCAGGCAGUUAUAACCAUUGGGAUAUUUUUUCACUGAUCCAGGCUUGUGAGUAAACAAGGCCAGUGUCCCUUCUAUCUACCAAAACCACAUUCUACUGUCAUUCUUCAGCUGCGGAGCCAGUAGCUGAAUCUCUUCUUGGUGCUGUCGAGGUGGCCAGUAUAUGGCUUCAUGAGCUAGGGGCUUAAGAGUAUGCUGAGUCUCCAAGGUUCACUAUGGCCAUUUCAACAUCCCCAAUGGCAAUCCACCAGUCAGGAAAGAAUGUCCCUGUACACAGCUUUCUGAACAGUCCUAUGUUCUUGAAGAUGCAAGUGUCAUGCUCCUUGCCUCACCAGCCAACACUGGUGUUGGUGAAGCAUCCCAGGUAACCCACCAACACUUUCAUAACCAUAGAUAAGUCAUCCUUUCUAUUGAUGUACUGUGUGGCAAGUUGGUCUGGGUGCCAAAAUAAUGAUAUGUCUACUGUCUAUUGCUCUACCACAGUUUGGGAACCCUAUUGCUGUAAAUCCAUCCAUUACGUCCUACACAUUGCAGAGUCACAGUCCUCCAUAGCAGGAGACAAUUAAUGUCCCUGAACACUUGCAUGACAAUGGCCCCCACAGGGGAUUUUCCAAUUCCAAAAUGAUUUCCUAUUGACUGGUAGCAAUCUGGCAUUGCAAGUUUCCACAGGGCACUCGCCGCUCUCUUAUCCACUGUCAGUGCAGCUCUCAUUCUGGAGUCCCUGUGCUGGAAGCCUGGGAGACCUCAGCACACAGAUCUAAGAACAUGGACUUUUGCAUUCAAAAGUUCUGCAGCUACUGUUCAUCAUCCCAAGCCUGCAUUACGAUGCAACCCAACCAGUCAAUGCUCAUUUCUCAGGCCCAGAAGUGAUGCUUCACCAUUUGCAGCCGUGCCGUGAACACCACCAACAAUCUUGAAUUGUUUUUGCUAUGUCUCACAGCAAUCUGUCCUCCAGGAGACUGUCAUGUUCCCUGUGACUUUUCCUGUGGCUCUGCAAAUACUGGAGGAUCAUAUGUCCUGUGCUUGCAAUGCUCAUGACAAUAGUGCAAAUCUGUGAAGGCUCCACACUUUUGUCAGAGAUGGUGGACAGCAACAAGUUUCACAUGGGUUCAUGGGCUUUUCAAAAUAGGCCCAAAAAUUAUGGGAUAGAGAUGUCAUUAUGGGAUGAAGAAAGACACAUGAUGGGAACUUGACCCCUUGUUCCCAGUCACCCUUGCAUGAUUCGUUUCUGCCACAUCACACAUUGCCAGAAUUUCCCCAAAAACAGUGUGCUGGAUGGUGGCAAGUUGCGCACUGGGAUACCUAUCCAUGGUGCACCACACUGUGCAUCAAAACAAACAAUCCUGCAACACACUGUGCAAUUGAAGGAGAAAGGGAGUGAGAGCUACCUGUACAUCCGUUGGAAUCACCCAGCAAGGGAGGAGGAGAAAGAAGGAAGCAUGCGUGUUUGUGUACAUGUUAUACUAGAGCAUGUUGAGAUUGGAGGGCAUUUACUUUCAAAGUGUUAUGUUCAUGGCAUACACACAGAGGAAUUACAUAAAAACAUAAAUACUUUAGAUGGAAGGUGGCAACGUAACACUACUUUAUUCUUCAGAAUUCAGAAUGAUCACACACAAGAACCCCAAAACCAGCAGAGACAAAGCAGGCUGCUCCCUGAAACAGCGACACAACUCAUCUCACCUUAUUCCAGGCUGGCUGGCUGCAGAAUUGACUGCUCUGAGGCCCAGACUGCAUGCUUUCCUCCAAAGCCACAUUGCCUGCAAGCAGGGCCAGGAAAACCCCUGAAAUUUAAAGUGGCAUCUCAAAGAAACAACUGAAGUGGGCAUUUCUAACAGAAACUAAAGGAAGGAGAAAUUAUUUUAAAAAAUCUAAUAAAUAUUCUAUAAUAAUGAUAACAGAACUGUCAGAAACAGAUACUCUCAGCAAGCAUCUACCAUCAUUAACUAUAAUGCCUUGCCUAGCACUUGGAAGAUACUCUUCAACAGAGUUAAUGGGCGCCCUGCAAAGUUUGCCCAAGAAGAUAAAUGCUAAUAUUAACAGAUGAGAUGUGUCUUAUGAGAUCACUUCCAGGAAACCUGGUGGCCAUUCUGGAAUCCUGAAAAAUACGCCAUGUAAAUAGCAGUUAAGUAGGAAAAGGCCUUUUUUGAAUUAAACUGCCAUCUGUCUGUUACUCCCUGUAGCUGAAUCAUGUCUGACUUUCUCCCUUCUCUCUUUCAUUCACCUUCCUCCUUCACCUGGUGGCCAGGAAUUGCACCAGCUCAAGACACUUUCGGCUACACUUCUCUAGUUACAAACUAUAGAAAUGAUCCCUGAAAGUAUAGUCUCAAUCAUGGGCCAUCUGAUCAGGGGUAGUCACAAGAGUCAACAUUAGCCAGGAAUUCUGGUGGUAAGUGUUACCCAGUCUUGGAAGGUGUGCACCAAAGACAGAGGAGCAAUGAAUGGUCAAUCUGACCCUAUAUUUACAAACAUGUUCACCGAGUGCCAUAUGGACAAAACAGUUCCUGGUAAAAAUUUGGACAACAAUUAACAUAAGCACUGCAGGAGAUCCCAACUGUUGACCUCUAAAAAGAACAGGUUUCAGAAUAACAGCCAUGUUAGUCUGUAUUUGCAAAAAGAAAAGGAAUACUCGUGGCACCUUAGAGACUAACCAAUUUAUUUGAGCAUAAGCUUUCGUGAGCUACAGCUCACUUCAUCGGAUGCAUACUGUGGAAAAUACAGAAGACGUUUUUAUACACACAAACCAUGAAAAAAUGGAUGAUUAUCACUACAAAAGGUUUUCUCUCCCCCCACCCCACUCUCCUGCUGGUAAUAGCUUAUGUAAAGUGAUCACACUCCUUACAAUCUGUAUGAUAAUCAAGGUGGGCCAUUUCCAGCACAAAUCCAGGUUUUCUCCCCUGGCAUAUGUAUUUAUUUAUCCCAACAUUCCCUUUUAAUUAACACUUCUGAAAGGUGUACUUGGUUAUGACUAUUGUGUUCUAAUAACAUGGGGAAAUUCUAAAUAGGUUCAGUGAAGUUUCAGUUCAAAACAUAUAAAAUAAAAUAUUUCUAGGAAAAAAAUCUGCUAAGGAGUUAGCUCAUCAUGAAUAACAUUUAUUUUGGCCUCAAUUAAUACUAAAGAUUAGCCAGAGUAGUGAAGUUUAUAUUCAGAUCUGGAAUCAGAUUUUAGUGCAGUGUUCCCUGAAGUGCAGAGUGCUUGGGUUUGAUGUUCCAGCUUGGUCCAUUAUAGAAAUGUUUGAUUGUAAAGUUUGUAUCUGUAGUCCAGAAUUUCAAGAAGGGAAAGCAGUGAGAUGUCAAAUUCUGUGUUCUGGUUUGAGCCCAUCUGUGACAGAAUAUACGUCUGUGUUCACAGCCUACACACUAUUGUCAUUGUUUUGGUACAAGGCAAGUCUUGUGAGGUAUCAUUUAAAAACUCAUAAUUUGCUGAUCAAUAAUACCAUGGCAAAAUGCAUGUAGUAGAGUUAUAUGUGAAGUUUUAAACAAAAAUUGAGAUCAUGACUAAAAGUAUGUUUUCUAGAGAAGUCAGGGAAAAGGCCAAACCAGUUUCUAAUGAGACAAAGAGUAAGCUGUCUCAGCCAGGUAUAAACAAGACUGAUGGACCAUUACCUGUUAACUGGCCAUUCUUUGUCAGGAAAGGGGGCAUGGGUGAAAAAUCUACAUUUUAGCAAAGAGUUUCCUUCCACACAAACUGCUUCCAGCUGGAAAUUCUCAAAUGGGGAGACAGGAAUAUAAAAAGGAGGGACAAACACCCCAAGGCACCCACCCUCCCCCCUGCCCAUCACAUUCAUUGCACCUGAAGCAACAACAGAAGCCUUCAUUGGACUCUGGGAGAAGGGGUCAUUAAGAUUGCUGAGAGCAUGUGGUGGGAGAACUUUGCUUUGAAUUUACCAUAGUUUGUUAAGUUAGUCACCAGUAGCAUUUUAUUUUUAUUGUAUUUCUGAUUUUUAUGCCUCAUUACUUGUCCUCAUUUAAAAUCUGUUUCGUGGUAGUUAAUAAACUUGUUUUAUUGUUUUAUCUCA